UACGUAGGGCGCAAGCGUUUGUCCGGAAUUAUUGGGCGUAAAGAGCUCGUAGGCGGCUUGUCACGUCGGUUGUGAAAGCCCGGGGCUUAACCCCGGGUUCUCAGUCGAUACGGGCAGGCUAGAGUGUGGUAGGGGAGAUCGGAAUUCCUGGUGUAGCGGUGAAAUGCGCAGAUAUCAGGAGGAACACCGGUGGCGAAGGCGGAUCUCUGGGCCAUUACUGACGCUGAGGAGCGAAAGCGUGGGGAGCGAACAGG
rnacentral:rRNA from 1 species